AAGGGGAAAAGCGAAGGCCGCCCGCCUAUCGGCGAAACGCGCUGGAGGGCCUGCGAGCGGGCUUAGCCCGCCGCAGCAGGACCGAAGCGUCGCGAGCCGAUGGCGGCCGGAGCUAGACAGUACGAAAAGCGGAGGCCGCAAUGGCCAACUGUCGAUACACAGCGCUUUCGUUUCGUUCGGUUUUGAGGGAAUGAGAAAUUCCUUCAAAAGCGCCUGUGCCUGCGUCUGCUAGCAGGUUCAGGGAAGCAAGAUUCCUCGGCACAAAGCUGCAAGGAGGAUUGCUCAAAGAAGCCGCUUUGCGUCUUCUAGCAGGUUCAAGGAAGAUGGAUUCCUCGGCGCAAAGCUGCAAAGAAGCAGACUCAAGGCAGCAGCUUCGUUCCUUGAAAACUAGAUAACCGGAAAAGCGGAGGCUCGCGGGUCGCCGCGAUGGGCAAAUGUUCUUCGCCUGCAAGGGUGCUUGCACCCGGAAGGCGAAGGUUAUUUGACUCCGAGCGGCGGCGAGCCAGAGCUGGACAUCAGUCGUUAUUCAAAGCAAAUCGCGCUUCUGUUUCGUUCAGUUUUGAGGGAACGAGUCAUGUUCUCUCAAUGACAAAAAUCGUUCCUUGAAAACUAGAUAACCGGAAACGCAAAGGAAGAAGCCGAGAGCGCUGUA
rnacentral:misc_RNA from 1 species